CCCUGUUGCAAAACCUUGGAACCUUAGUCAAUGGAGGCCGAACAACACAUCUGUUGAAAACAGCAUUAACUAAAUUAAAUCUCUAGGAGGAGUUCGUUAAAGUACAGCGCCUGGAAAUGGUAAAAAAAACCGACCCAAUAUUCAAGAUGGCUGACUUCCUGUUGGGUUUAUGGUAUACCUCCAAGCGGCUUUUUUUUUUUUUUUUUUUACGUCUCAACAUGUUCCAUUUACCAAACCAAAUUUCAUACAUCUAGGUGAAACGUGUCGCCGGGGAUACUCAAUAGGGGGCGCUAUCGAGCCAAUUUGCUAAACCCGAGCACGAAACCCAUAUCAGAUAUCUAUUUCACGCACGUUUGACACAUGUGCAU